rnacentral:rRNA from 1 species
AAACCGUUCAGGGGUAAACCUGAGAAACCCAAAAGAUCGAAUGAGGAGAUUCACCGUCAACGGCCGCUGCCUGUCGUUGGUUCGCGAUGCCCCGCAACGUACCUUCGCGGUACGUUUAGCGUGCGGGCACGCAACCUUCGGCGGUGUCAGCGUCGUGGUCGUGCACUUCUCCUCUUGUAGAACGUCGCGACCCGUUGUGUGUCGGUCUACGGCCCGAGCGGUAGCCUGUCGCUUCGCCUUGUGCGUUCGCGGCAGACCCUCGGUCGCCUGGCCGGCUGCACGACGGUAUUCGCACGGUAUCGGGCCGCAACCAACCAUUCUCGAAUGUGUGUGCGUCGGGCCCGCCGCAAGCUCGGUCAGUUUACCCGGGGGUACGGACAUGUUGCCGGACCCGGGCCUGGCCAGCUGUUAGCAGGCGGUGUCCUUCGACUGGCCAAGCUUUGAAUUACCGGUCGGCGACGCUAUUGCUUUGGGUCCUCUCAGGACCCGUCUUGAAACACGGACCAAGGAGUCUAACAUGUGCGCGAGUCAUUGGGACAAUUAAACCUAAAGGCGAAAUGAAAGUGAAGGUCGUCCUUCGACCGGUUGACCGAGGGAGGAUGGGCCGCGUAACCAUGCGGCCUCGCACUCCCGGGGCGUCUCGUUCUCAAUUGGAGAAGAGGCGCACCCAGAGCGUACACGUU